UUGAUUUGACUUUGCUAUGUAAAUAUCAUUGGAUUAGGGGAUUGAUGGAAUGCACAUUCCAUCUCCCAAAAUGAAUGAAUGGUAUUAAUUUGGUAAAAGUCCUCCUUUGAACAAUUUGAGUUGUGAUCCAUUCCCUUACCUCUUCAUUUAAUUCCCCUUCUUUAUGCAUCCAUCUCAUUUGGCCUAUGACAUCUCUAAGUCCUAAGGCUAGUUGAUUGAAAAAUCAACACAAGUAUGGAUGAGAUUAGGCCACCUUUUUUGCAUAUUCUUUUU
rnacentral:lncRNA from 1 species